UUCCCCUUCUACACCCGCGGGAUGCGGCGACAACCAGGGGCGGGAGCCAGACCGACGCCGCUGCCUGGAGCCCUAGUGUGUAAGUGGAUGCAGAUGUCAUAAAAUUGGCACUGGGGACCUCAUCAGCUAAUUCAACAGCUUCAUAUACAGUAACUGACAAAGAGCAAUUCUAUUCUGGGUUGGAUGCUUGAGACAGCUAUCCGGAGAUCCCUUUCUACCUUCAAUUAAAUGUGCACACGGUGUCAUAG